rnacentral:rRNA from 1 species
GCGUGAGUGAUGAAGGCCUUAGGGUUGUAAAGCUCUUUCAGCGGGGAAGAUGAUGACGGUACCCGCAGAAGAAGCCCCGGCUAACUCCGUGCCAGCAGCCGCGGUAAUACGGAGGGGGCAAGCGUUGUUCGGAAUUACUGGGCGUAAAGCGCGCGUAGGCGGUUUGUCCAGUCAGGCGUGAAAGCCCCGGGCUUAACCCGGGAACUGCGCUUGAUACUGACAGACUAGAGUCCGGGAGAGGAGAGUGGAAUUCCCAGUGUAGAGGUGAAAUUCGU